rnacentral:rRNA from 1 species
UACGGGAGGCAGCAGUGGGGAAUAUUGCACAAUGGGCGCAAGCCUGAUGCAGCCAUGCCGCGUGUAUGAAGAAGGCCUUCGGGUUGUAAAGUACUUUCAGCGAGGAGGAAGGCGUUGUGGUUAAUAACCGCAACGAUUGACGUUACUCGCAGAAGAAGCACCGGCUAACUCCGUGCCAGCAGCCGCGGUAAUACGGAGGGUGCAAGCGUUAAUCGGAAUUACUGGGCGUAAAGCGCACGCAGGCGGUCUGUCAAGUCGGAUGUGAAAUCCCCGGGCUCAACCUGGGAACUGCAUCCGAAACUGGCAGGCUAGAGUCUUGUAGAGGGGGUAGAAUUCCAGGUGUAGCGGUGAAAUGCGUAGAGAUCUGGAGGAAUACCGGUGGCGAAGGGCGGGCCCCUGGGACAAAGACUGACGCUCAGGUGCGAAAGCGUGGGGAGCAAACAGGAUUAGAAUACC